rnacentral:rRNA from 1 species
CCAAGAAUCUUCCGCAAUGGGGGGAAACCCUGACGGAGCGACGCCGCGUGAGGGAUGAAGGUCUUCGGAUUGUAAACCUCUUUUGUUUCGGGAAGAGUAAGGGUGUCAGGAAAUGGGCAUCCGAUGACGGUACCGCAUGAAUAAGCCCCGGCUAAUUACGUGCCAGCAGCCGCGGUAAUACGUAAGGGGCUAGCGUUGCUCGGAAUUACUGGGCGUAAAGGGCGUGUAGGCGGGCUUGUAAGUCGAAUGUAAAAAACCCAGGGCUUAACCCUGGGGCUGCGUUCGAAACUGCGAGUCUUGAGUCUGGUGGAGGGUAAUGGAAUUCCCGGUGUAGCGGUGAAAUGCGUAGAGAUCGGGAAGAACACCGAAGGCGAAGGCAGUUACCAUGCCGAGACUGACG